rnacentral:rRNA from 1 species
GAUGAACGCUAGCGGCAGGCCUAAUACAUGCAAGUCGAGGGGUAGUGGUUGCUUGCAACCAUGAGACCGGCGCACGGGUGCGUAACGCGUAUGCAACCUACCUUCAUCAGGGGGAUAGCCCGGAGAAAUCCGGAUUAACACCGCAUAAAACCACAGUACCGCAUGGUACAAUGGUCAAACAUUCAUGGGAUGGAGAUGGGCAUGCGUGACAUAGUCUAGUU